AUGUGAAUAGAAUGCAGCUGUUCUGACUAAAAAUAAUCUAGACAAUAAUAUGUUAGAGGCAAAUAUAAUAGAUUUGUUAGAAGAAGAGGUAAUCUAUAUUUUAUUACCGACUGGUAAAAUGUGUAUCGCUAUCUAGCGGUACUAAAUAUUACUUCAAUGUAUCGACUAGUAAAAUGAUGCUGCCAUCUAGCGGAAGUAAAUGUUACUAUGUCUUACCGACUAGUAGAAUAUGUUUCGCCAUCUAGACAAAAGACAAAACAUCACUAGGAUAAAAUCAAGAUGGCUACCUGUCAAUGUACUUUGAAUACCAUAAAUACAGGCUAUGUGCAGUGUAAAUGAUCGCCAAUUCUGGAUGAAAAUAAUUAAACUGGAUAAAGUGCUGUGGGACAGUGUUACGUCAUAACCUAAGAAAAAUAAUUUUCUUUAUUAAAUCCGAGAAUAUAGAUGAAUUCAAGAUGAUCUCUUAAUCAAAUUAUUUUAACAAAUACUAAUCAGCAUGCAGAUCUAUAUUUUUAAUUCCAAUCCAAGAACAUUAUACAUACUCACGAGAAGAAAAAUUCAUUACAACAUUCGAUAAAUGGAUAUAUAUAUUUCAUUUUCUUACGACUAACGAUUAAAAGAUUUGCAUUGAUUAUGCCAUCCGAAUAAGAGUUUUAUUCUAUAAUAUUAUGUAAAUAGAAUGCAGCUGCAGUAACAAAGAAUAAUCAAGACAAGAAUGUGUCAAAAGGAUAGGUAAAUAAUUUGACUAGAAAUGCCUAAUCAUUAUUAUCAAGAUUGAUAAGAAGAAUUCAACAAUAGUGCAACUAACAUUAUUAUAUUAAACACUUAUAUGUCUAUUUUGCACCCCACAAUAAUACACAUGCACAUACA